GAGGGUAUAGCUUAGUGAUAGAAUUUGUGCUUAGCAUGCACAAUGUCCUGGAUUCAAUCUCCAGUACCUCUG
rfam:Camelus ferus unplaced genomic scaffold scaffold256, whole genome shotgun sequence.